GAUGAACGCUGGCGGCGUGCCUAAUACAUGCAAGUCGAGCGAACGGACGAGAAGCUUGCUUCUCUGAUGUUAGCGGCGGACGGGUGAGUAACACGUGGAUAACCUACCUAUAAGACUGGGAUAACUUCGGGAAACCGGAGCUAAUACCGGAUGAUAUUUUGAACCGCAUGGUUCAAAAGUGAAAGACGGUCUUGCUGUCACUUAUAGAUGGAUCCGCGCUGCAUUAGCUAGUUGGUAAGGUAACGGCUUACCAAGGCAACGAUGCAUAGCCGACCUGAGAGGGUGAUAGGCCACACUGGAACUGAGACACGGUCAAGACUCCUACGGGAGGCAGCAGUAGGGAAUCUUCCGCAAUGGGCGAAAGCCUGACGGAGCAACGCCGCGUGAGUGAUGAAGGUCUUCGGAUCGUAAAACUCUGUUAUUAGGGAAGAACAUAUGUGUAAGUAACUGUGCACAUCUUGACGGUACCUAAUCAGAAAGCCACGGCUAACUACGUG
rnacentral:rRNA from 1 species